AAUGACGAACGUUGGGAAACAAAUGAUAUACUGAUCCCAUUCAUACAGAAGUACAAUUGCGAAUCCAAGCACUAAGGGCAAGUAGCCUAAUAUAACCCAGAGCAAGUAGCCUAAUAUAACCCAGAGCAAGUAGCCUAAUGUAACCCAGAGCAAGUAGCCUAAUGUAACCCAGAGCAAGUAGCCUAAUGUAACCCAGAGCAAGUAGCCUAAUGUAACCCAGAGCAAGUAGCCUAAUGUAACCCAGAGCAAGUAGCCUAAUGUAACCCAGAGCAAGUAGCCUAAUGUAACCCAGAGCAAGUAGCCUAAUGUAACCCAGAGCAAGUAGCCUAA